rnacentral:lncRNA from 1 species
AACAACUUAUAAAAGAAUACUCAGUGAUUUGGUUAUAUUUGUACACAUAUACAACAUUGAAAUGUGAACUAUCACCUACCUCUAAAACUCAUCAUUCCACUCAUUCCCCACAUUUUUCAUUUUCCACUACUUGUUCAAACAUAUCUGAAACUAAAUCAUCAAUUAAUUACAUUAAAUCAAUUUCACCAAAGAUUGUAUCCAACCAUGCAGGUGCGUUACAUCAUAACUUCUCCAGUUUUAAUCAAAAGAAUAUAAUAAAUUAUCUUCAUUCUCGAAAUGUUUCUUAUAACUUUAUCCACAAUUGCUCUCACCCUCAAAAGAUCCGAGGAAUCAAAAUUUCAUUUUUUUACCAUUUUUGUUUCAUUCUUAUAA